ensembl:snRNA U1 U1 spliceosomal RNA
GCCCGGGAGAGACACUGGUCACAAAGGCGGGUUUCCCAGGGCAAGGCUGAUCCAUUGCACUCCGGACGUGCUGACCCCUGUGAUUUCCCCAAAUGUGGGAGACUCCACUGGGC